UACAGAGGGUGCAAGCGUUAAUCGGAAUUACUGGGCGUAAAGCGCGCGUAGGUGGCUUGAUAAGCCGGUUGUGAAAGCCCCGGGCUCAACCUGGGAACGGCAUCCGGAACUGUCAGGCUAGAGUGCAGGAGAGGAAGGUAGAAUUCCCGGUGUAGCGGUAAAAUGCGUAGAUCUCGAGAGGAAUACCGGUUGCGAAGGCGGCCUUUUGGCCUACAACUGACGCUGAGGCGCGAAAGCGUGGGGAGCAAACAGG
rnacentral:misc_RNA from 1 species